CCUACGGGUGGCUGCAGUGGGGAAUAUUGCACAAUGGGGGAAACCCUGAUGCAGCCAUGCCGCGUGUGUGAAGAAGGCCUUCGGGUUGUAAAGCACUUUCAGCGAGGAGGAAAGGUUGGUAGCUAAUAAUUGCCAGCUGUGACGUUACUCGCAGAAGAAGCACCGGCUAACUCCGUGCCAGCAGCCGCGGUAAUACGGAGGGUGCAAGCGUUAAUCGGAAUUACUGGGCGUAAAGCGCACGCAGGCGGUUGGAUAAGUUAGAUGUGAAAGCCCCGGGCUCAACCUGGGAAUUGCAUUUAAAACUGUCCAGCUAGAGUCUUGUAGAGGGGGGUAGAAUUCCAGGUGUAGCGGUGAAAUGCGUAGAGAUCUGGAGGAAUACCGGUGGCGAAGGCGGCCCCCUGGACAAAGACUGACGCUCAGGUCGAA
rnacentral:rRNA from 1 species